rnacentral:Y_RNA from 1 species
GGCUGAUGCGAGUGCAGUGGUGUUUACAAUGAAUUGAUCACAACCAGUUACAGAUUUCUUUGUUCCUUCUCUGCUCUCACUGCUUCACUUGACCAGCCUUUA